UGAACUGAGACCUCAGAAGGAGUAAACAGACAAGUCCGAGAGACCCUUCUCCACCUCCUCCACCUUCCUGCACCACAGGUGAAGACAGCCACUCUGGCCACCUACACUGCCUCGCUGCCCGUCCUCCAGGCAGGAGAGCCUUAGCCAGAUGCCUACGUGGAGUCUGGCCUCCAUUUUUAGCACCUGAAGCCAGUGCCAUUUCUACAGGAAUGGUGGAUGCAUUUAUGCUCCUUCACCGUUACCAAAGCCUAGUUAUUCCAAACUCAAGCUUCUAUGCCUCAUAAAGCAGAAGUCGCUUAAGCUGAGAGGAACAUGCUGGAACACCUGGAUGUGCUGGACAUGAAGGACAGCUACAGGAAAACAUAAAAGUGACAUGACAAAGUAAGUGGCAUGAGCUUUAGAGCCAAACACUCUUUGAACUUGGAUACACAAACAGAAAAAAACACAUGGAUUCAAAUAACAC
rnacentral:lncRNA from 1 species